rnacentral:rRNA from 1 species
UCGAUUAGAGUUUGAUCCUGGCUCAGAACGAACGCUGGCGGCAUGCCUAACACAUGCAAKUCGAACGAUGCUUUCGGGCAUAGUGGCGCACGGGUGCGUAACGCGUGGGAAUCUGCCCUGGGGUUCGGGAUAACAGCGGGAAACUGCUGCUAAUACCGGAUGAUAUCGCGAGAUCAAAGAUUUAUCGCCCUGGGAUGAGCCCGCGUCGGAUUAGGUAGUUGGUGGGGUAAGGGCGCACCAAGGCGACGAUCCGUAGCUGGUCUGAGAGGAUGAUCAGCCACACUGGGACUGAGACACGGCCCAGACUCCUACGGGAGGCAGCAGUGGGGAAUAUUGGGCAAUGGAUGCAAGUCUGACCCAGCCAUGCCGCGUGCCGGAAGAAGGUCCUCAGGAUUGUAAACGGCUUUUAUUCGGGAAGAAGAGCAGGGAUGCGUCCUUGUGUGACGGUACCGAAUGAAUAAGCACCGGCUAACUCCGUGCCAGCAGCCGCGGUAAUACGGAGGGUGCGAGCGUUGUCCGGAUUUAUUGGGUUUAAAGGGUGCGUAGGUGGCUUGAUAAGUCAGUGGUGAAAUACAGCCGCUCAACGGUUGAGGUGCCAUUGAUACUGUCAAGCUUGAAAGAAUUGGAGGCUGCCGGAAUGGAUGGUGUAGCGGUGAAAUGCAUAGAUAUCAUCCAGAACACCGAUUGCGAAGGCAGGUGGCUACGAUUUAUUUGACACUGAGGCACGAAAGCAUGGDGAGCAAACAGGAUUAGAUACCCUGGUAGUCAAUCACU